rnacentral:lncRNA from 1 species
CCUUAAGGUCUCAGGUGUGUAGUUAAAUAGUUCAUCCUUAGAAAAAUGUUAUUUUGGCCAUAUUCCUUUGAUUCUGGCAAUUGCUGCAAACUGAAGAAUGUCCUUUAGGGAAAAUUCUUAUUUAAUUUUGAUGUAAUUUCAUUACCUCUCUCUUUACCCUUCUUGGAUUGAGAGGUCACCCUUUGCAAUAGCACUCCUAUUUAUCAGAAGUGAAGUUGGGGG